UGUCUCAUGGUGUAAUGGUAGCACAACAGAUUUUGGUUCUGUUUGUCCAAGUUCGAAUCUUGGUGAGACAA
rnacentral:tRNA from 1 species